UACGUAGGGACCAAGCGUUGUUCGGAUUUACUGGGCGUAAAGGGCGCGUAGGCGGCGCGGUAAGUCACUUGUGAAAUCUCUGAGCUUAACUCAGAACGGCCAAGUGAUACUGCAGUGCUAGAGUAUGGUAGGGGCAGAGGGAAUUCCUGGUGUAGCGGUGAAAUGCGUAGAGAUCAGGAAGAACAUCGGUGGCGAAGGCGCUCUGCUGGACCAUAACUGACACUCAGGGACGAAAGCUAGGGGAGCGAAUGGG
rnacentral:rRNA from 1 species